GAUGAAGAACGCAGCGAAAUGCGAUAAGUAAUGUGAAUUGCAGAAUUCAGUGAAUCAUCGAAUCUUUGAACGCACAUUGCACUCAUUAGUAUUCUAGUGAGUAUGCCUGUUCGAGCGUCAUUUCAACCCUUAAGCCUAGCUUAGUGUUGGGACUCUACCCUAACCGGUAGUUCCCCAAAAUCAGUUGGCGGAGUUCAGUCGGCUCUGAGUGUAGUAAUUUUCUCUCGCUUUAGAAGUCUUCUGGAUUACGGCCAGAAAGAGACGAGACUCGCAUCUCGGUGCGUUUCUCAACUUUUUUUUACAAUGGUUGACCUCGGAUCAGGUAGGAAUACCCGCUGAACUUAAGCAUAUCAAUAAGCGGAGGA
rnacentral:misc_RNA from 1 species